rnacentral:rRNA from 1 species
GAGUUUGAUCAUGGCUCAGAGCGAACGCUGGCGGCAGGCUUAACACAUGCAAGUCGAGCGGAUGUAGCAAUACAUCAGCGGCAGACGGGAUAGUAACACGUGGGAACGCGCCCUUUGGUUCGGAAUAACUCAGGGAAACUUGAGCUAAUACCGGAUAAGCCCUUACGGGGAAAGAUUUAUCGCCAAAGGAACGGCCCGCGUCCGAUUAGCUAGUUGGUGAGGUAAUGGCUCACCAAGGCGACGAUCGGUAGCUGGCCUGAGAGGAUGACCAGCAUCACUGGGACUGAGACACGGCCCAGACUCCUACGGGAGGCAGCAGUGGGGAAUAUUGGACAAUGGGCGAAAGCCUGAUCCAGCCAUGCCGCGUGGAUGAUGAAGGCCCUAGGGUUGUAAAGUCCUUUUAACGGGGAAGAUAAUGACGGUACCCGUAGAAUAAGCCCGGCUAACUUCGUGCCAGCAGCCGCGGUAAC